rnacentral:lncRNA from 1 species
AUGCUUCUCUUAAACGAAGACAGCCUCCAGGCUGUCACUGGGCCUGUGGCCAAGACCCUCCUGAGGACAGGCCAGAGGUCACAGCCAGCCCCAGCAGUUCAGGCCAUCAGGCAAGUGCCCCUUCAGACAUCUUUGGGACAUAUAUUUCUUAUAAGGAGCAGCAGGGAUUUCCCAGGACAACAAAAGUACAGAGACAACAGAAGUCUCCCUUCUCACCAAGAAAACUUCUUUAAAGCCACAGUCAAGGAGGGAAGAAGAUCCAAAGAUGGGAAGUUUCAGCUGUCUGAGGUCCCACAGGUGGAAGCCUGUGCAGAGGCAAUGAUUACCUGCCACCAUUUCCCUCCUCCUCACCCUGCCUUUCGUAUAGAACCCUGGUACUCUGGGAAUAUUUUGAAUUUAGCUUAACUGUAACCAAAUUCUGUGCUAUACUCCAGCAAGCCUAAGCUAAAAGUCUUGAUGAGGAAAUGCUGCUGGAAAACAUCUGCGCUUUGUUUUGUGCAACUGAAGAGUUAAAAAUAUUUUCAUAAAUACUAUAAUGUAUAAAAGCUGUGAACAAGCAAAUGUAGUGUCAAACUUCCAAAUUGUAUAAAUGUAUUUGUCUCUCAUAUUAGUAAAUGCUAUUUGAACAGAAAUAGCACAUUGUAACAGCCUAACAAGAAGCAGUCUUUCUGAUGACGUUUAAGACUUCUUUGCUCCACUGUAUGGAAAUAUUUAAGACCUAAAAGAUUUAUAUUACAACAUGGCAUUUGAAAUGGUCCAGUCCUGUUCCCAGGGAAGUCAAAGAGUCUUUUUACCAUCAACUUCAAUGGAAACAACAUAAGAACAAAGAUCCAUUUUAAUUUGAUAUUUUUUUCCUAUUUUACUCUAAGAGACAGCCCUCCCCUCCUACCCUAAAAAGUUACUAAACUAUUUAUCAAGCAUAAGCCAUUGUCAUGUCCAGAAAUUAAUGUCAAUUGAGACUUCUCUCCAGAUAACAGUAAGUGGGCUACAAAUAUCAGAUUCCUAUGCAACACUGGGCACAGUGAAACACUGCGUAUUUCAUUCAUACUGGAAAGAUUAAAUGAUCUUUUAGAAGCCUUUCCUACAAUAUCUAACAUAUUGCCUUCCUUGCCCUGAGACAAAAAUUGUCACCUUACACCCUGCACUAACUUUGAAGAUUACAGUCAACAUGAACUAAAAAGUAAUAACAUCUGAUCCUUUAAAGCACGAGGUAACAGCAUCUAAUCCAUUUUCUUUUUUGAUUGAUAGAUGCCAAAUUAAAUGAGAUAAACUAUGAAAUA